CAGCAUCUACAAAAGCUUCAAGGAAGAAAACACAAUCUACAACAACUGAAAAGAAGGGGAACAGGAACGGAAGGGGAGAAAAUAGACACCGCAACAAAAAAGAUCUGAGCUCUCCCACUGCUCCUCCUAAUGUGACCCGCUGUUCUUCAGUGAGCUCCAGCCAAACUGACAGAACAAAAAGCAGAAGGAAUGAACUCCAAACAACUUCACUCACUCCCUCAGCGGUCUCAAAUACCACACUUACACCUGCAUCUGCAGUGAUUAACUCAGAGUCUAAAACCACCAUGUCCACAACUCGG